rnacentral:rRNA from 1 species
GAUGAACGCUAGCUACAGGCUUAACACAUGCAAGUCGCAGGACUGGCGCACGGGUGAGUAACGCGUAUCCAACCUUCCCAUAACUACGGGAUAACCCGUUGAAAGACGGCCUAAUACCGUAUUGUUAUGGAUGGGGAGGCGUCUGAUUAGCUUGUUGGCGGGGUAACGGCCCACCAAGGCGACGAUCAGUAGGGGUUCUGAGAGGAAGGUCCACCAGAUUGGAACUGAGAAACGGUCCAAAAGCUUACAGGAGGAAGCAGUGAGGAAUAUUUGUCAAUGGGCGAGAGCCUGAACCAGCCAAGUAGCGUGCAGGAUGACGGCAUAUGGGUUGUAAACUGCUUUUAUGAGGGGAUAGGUACCAAAUGAAUAAGGACCGGCUAAUUCCGUGCCAGCAGCCGCGGUAAUAC